rnacentral:lncRNA from 1 species
ACGCCCAGCUUUUAUGACCUGUCUUGAUAAGCUUUUAUUUAAUUAUAAAUAUAUAUAAUAUAUAUAAAAUUAGGCUUUAUAAAAGCAAAGCAAAAGUUAAGUUUACCAUCACGUAAGAUGCCUACAUUUUCUAUUUUUUCUUUUCUUGCUUUUUUUUUGAGACAGGGUCUUGCUUUGUAGUUCAGGCUAGCCCUGAACUCACUAUGUAGCCCAGACUGGCCUUGGACUUGAGGUGAGCCUCCUGCCUUGGCCUCCCGAGUGCUGGGAUUACAGUAUAUGCCACCACACCCAGCUACAUUUUCUAAAAGAACUUUAUGGGUGAAGUUUAAGGACUCCAGAGCUCUACAUUACAAAAUGGACAAUGCUCAAAAUUAAACAGAACUAUUUCAAAGUCUGCAGAAUCUAAUCUUAGAAAGUCCACAAGAGAGUAAUUUAACUUCUCUACUUCCCAGCUUUCUUUCUUUUUUUUUGCCCUACUAGUUUGUGUACAGACACGUGAAAAAAUGAUUAACACCAUAACUGAAUGGAACUAAGGAUUAAUAAAGAUUAUCCUAACUCAAGUAUCAACUUGGCAUGCUGUCAAUGUUCACAAGUUUGAAUGGAUCAGAAAAAAUUCCAAAGAGAUUAAGACAAAGAGGAAGAAGAUGAAGAGGAGGAAGAGGAGGAACAAAGAUGCCAAACAAAGAACAAAGCCAAAUAAAAAAUCCUUUAACAGUGGGGCUGGUGUUCCCUAAAUUUAUUUAUAACUAGAUCUGACCGUCUGACCUUUUUAUGGUAAAUCCAGAGUUCAGAAGAAAGUCAAAGUAUGUGAGUUUCUAUUAGUUAUAACUUACUUGAUCUAGAG